AAGGGUAUAGCUCAGUGGUAGAGUGUGUGCUUAGCAUGUACAAGCUCCUGGAUUCAGUCCCCAGUACUUCUG
rnacentral:tRNA from 1 species